AUGAACGCUGGCGGCGUGCCUAAUACAUACAAGUCGAGCGAACAGACGAGGAGCUUGCUCCUCUGACGUUAGCGGCGGACGGGUGAGUAACACGUGGAUAACCUACCUAUAAGACUGGGAUAACUUCGGGAAACCGGAGCUAAUACCGGAUAAUAUAUUGAACCGCAUGGUUCAAUAGUGAAAGACGGUUUUGCUGUCACUUAUAGAUGGAUCCGCGCCGCAUUAGCUAGUUGGUAAGGUAACGGCUUACCAAGGCAACGAUGCGUAGCCGACCUGAGAGGGUGGUCGGCCCCACUCGGAGCGGAAAACCGGUCCAGCCCCCUCGGGAGGGAAGCGGAGGGAAAUUUUCCGAAGUGGGGGAAACCCUGCCGGAGCAACGCCGGGGGGGUGAUGAAGGUCUUCGGUUCGUAAAACCCUUUUAUUGGGGAAGAACAAAUUGGAAAAUAACUAUGCCCGUUUUGACGGUACCAAACCAGAAACCCCCGGCUAACUACUU
rnacentral:rRNA from 1 species